rnacentral:rRNA from 1 species
UACAGAGGGGGCGAGCGUUGUUCGGAAUUACUGGGCGUAAAGGGCGCGGAGGCGGCCUUCUAAGUCGAACGUGAAAUCCCCGGGCUCAACCCGGGAACUGCGUCCGAUACUGGGAGGCUUGAAUCCGGGAGAGGGAUGUGGAAUUCCAGGUGUAGCGGUGAAAUGCGUAGAUAUCUGGAGGAACACCGGUGGCGAAGGCGACAUCCUGGACCGGUAUUGACGCUGAGGCGCGAAAGCCAGGGGAGCAAACGGG